UAUCUCAUGUCUUUUAUCAUAGCCCUUUGAGGGGCCUGUCAGAAACCUUGGCAUCAGUCUUAGUAUCUGUACUCUCAGCGUUCCUUGCCCUGGCGCCGAUGCCAUGGAACUUUUAACUCGGCAGCUCAGACAGGUAUCAGAAUGGCAACUCUUUUUCGAAGCAUCCGGUCAGAUGUCUUUUCAGGUCUUGUUCUGAGCUGUAUGGACAGCUGCACCCUGCAAGGUUCUGUUAUGAUGGAUUAGGACUUGUAAGAAUGUGGGGACAGGUAGAGGCUUCUGACCGUAGGAUUCUCGGGCAUCCAUCUUUGCAGUUCUUGGAAUAAAUAAUUCAGUUAGCAUCUUGUUCCUCCAGGGUUCUCUGAACUUCAUCAGCACGCCAUCAGUUUCACCUCAGUCCUCUAAUUUUGCGUCCUCUCGGUGCUCGCUGUCAUUUUCCUUACCCAGAGAUUUCUGUUCCUGUUGUGUCCCCGUUGUUUGUCCUGUCCUGUGUCACGGGUGUCUGCACACAUUUGUGCUGGAGCUGCUCUGCCUUGCUGCAUAGCCUGGUGCAAUAGGAGAAGUCCCGGGGACUUGAUGUUUGUAAUGUGGGGUGUCGUUGGACUCUAGGUGGGAUUUGUAGAUGGGCACAAGAUGUCUGGAGCUCUUAAGUUAUCCUGCAGCUCUUUGAUUUUUGUCCUUUCUUUCAGGUGCAGAAGGAUGAAAUCCAGGGCAGAGCCCCUCAUCCCGGGUGAGGGGAUUCCCCCGAGCAGGAAGUCAAGGCCAAGUGGGCGAGGUGGUCCACUUGCCAUCUAUCCUGGCCGGGCAUGCCCAUUCCAGCUGUGUGCAGCUUAAGGUGCGGUCGCUGCCCUAGGCAUGCCAAGGAACAGAGGAGGGCAGGUAUCUUCUGGGCACCCUCUGGAGUCAAAUCAAGAUUUGAGGUACCCUUAGGAGCCUCGUAGCCAAAGGUUGGAAACGACAGCACCGAGGCACACACGGAGCAUGUUUCAACAUCCACGUCGGACCAAGGAUGGAUUUUGUCUGCUCCUUUUCC